rnacentral:lncRNA from 1 species
GAAAGCAAAUAAAUUUCAAAUAAAUGGCAAAGAUAGUAAAGCUAAGGGGUAUCUGAAGGGACCGGGCAUGAAGGAUGUCUCUGAUGGUAAAGUCAUGAGUGGUGCCGUUGAACCAAAGGUCAAUAAUAUCAAUAAAGUCAUCCCUGGAAAUAUCAAGUCACUGGCUGGGAAGGAAUCUGCUGUGAAGCCGUUUGUUAACGGCGACAUCAUUAUGGAAGAGUUCAGUGAACAAAACACUUCAGAAACCAACUCGUAUUCACUGAGUUCUUCAGAUGCCAAAGGUAAUCACCAAGAUGGCCUCCAUACCCUACCAUCCACCAAAGACUCUGCCAGUA